GGGAUUUUUCAGAAUUUAAGCUUAUUUUGGAGUUGUAUCGGCUUAGUUUGGCACUAUAGGUGUAUAGAUAUUUUGUUUGUGUUGUUUUGUGUUAUUGUUUAUCAUUGUUGAGUGUUUGUGUGAUCUUUGUGUACAGUUUUUAUCUUAUGUGUUACCGCUUUAUAUCUGGCAUCAUGUGCAUAACCCGAGUCAUUCUUUCUGCAAUAAGUCCAUAGUACAUGUGUGUACACGAACUCUAGUUGAGUCAUCCUUAUUUUAGGAGGGGGGAGCCGUUGGGUAGAAUUUAAGCUUAUUUUGGAGUUGUAUCGGCUUAGUUUGGCACUAUAGGUGUAUAGAUAUUUUGUUUGUGUUGUUUUGUGUUAUUGUUUAUCAUUGUUGAGUGUUUGUGUGAUCUUUGUGUACAGUUUUUAUCUUAUGUGUUACCGCUUUAUAUCUGGCAUCAUGUGCAUAACCCGAGUCAUUCUUUCUGCAAUAAGUCCAUAGUACAUGUGUGUACACGAACUCUAGUUGAGUCAUCCUUAUUUUA
rnacentral:lncRNA from 1 species